UGGGGAAUUUUGGACAAUGGGCGAAAGCCUGAUCCAGCAAUGCCGCGUGUGUGAAGAAGGCCUUCGGGUUGUAAAGCACUUUUGUCCGGAAAGAAAUCCUUGGCUCUAAUACAGUCGGGGGAUGACGGUACCGGAAGAAUAAGCACCGGCUAACUACGUGCCAGCAGCCGCGGUAAUACGUAGGGUGCAAGCGUUAAUCGGAAUUACUGGGCGUAAAGCGUGCGCAGGCGGUUUGCUAAGACCGAUGUGAAAUCCCCGGGCUCAACCUGGGAACUGCAUUGGGUGACUGGCAGGCUAGAGUAUGGCAGAGGGGGGUAGAAUUCCACGUGUAGCAGUGAAAUGCGUAGAGAUGUGGAGGAAUACCGAUGGCGAAGGCAGCCCCCUGGGCCAAUACUGACGCUCAUGCACGGAAGCGUGGGGAGCAAACAGGAUUAGAUACCCUGGUAGUCCACGCCCUAAACGAUGUCAACUAGUUGUUGGGGAUUCAUUUCCUUAGUAACGUAGCUAACGCGUGAAGUUGACCGCCUGGGGAGUACGGUCGCAAGAUUAAAACUCAAAUGAAUUGACGGGGUCAUAGCUGUUUCCU
rnacentral:rRNA from 1 species